rnacentral:snoRNA from 1 species
GGACCCCCAGAUGAUGAGGGUCGUCCGUCGAGGUCACUUCGAUUGGAUGUCAGAAACGGGAAGCAAAAAUUGAAUUAAAAAAAAAACAAUAAACAACAGAAACUUUAAGACAUAACAGAGAUUUAUGGGGAAAACAAAACUUAUGGCCCACGUCAGUGGCUGAAGCCAAUCAUU